AAUGAACGCUGGCGGUAGGCCUAACACAUGCAAGUCGAACGGCAGCACAGUAAGAGCUUGCUCUUACGGGUGGCGAGUGGCGGACGGGUGAGGAAUACAUCGGAAUCUACUUUUUCGUGGGGGAUAACGUAGGGAAACUUACGCUAAUACCGCAUACGACCUACGGGUGAAAGCAGGAGAUCUUCGGACCUUGCGCGAUUGAAUGAGCCGAUGUCGGAUUAGCUAGUUGGCGGGGUAAAGGCCCACCAAGGCGACGAUCCGUAGCUGGUCUGAGAGGAUGAUCAACCACACUGGAACUGAGACACGGUCCAGACUCCUACGGGAGGCAGCAGUGGGGAAUAUUGGACAAUGGGCGCAAGCCUGAUCCAGCCAUACCGCGUGGGUGAAGAAGGCCUUCGGGUUGUAAAGCCCUUUUGUUGGGAAAGAAAAGCAGCAGGUUAAUACCCCGCUGUUCUGACGGUACCCAAAGAAUAAGCACCGGCUAACUUCGUG
rnacentral:rRNA from 1 species